rnacentral:rRNA from 1 species
UACGGGGGGCAAGGCGUUGUUCGGAAUUACUGGCGUAAAGGGCUCGUAGGCGGCCAACUAAGUCAGACGUGAAAAUCUCCCGGCUCAAACCGGGGAGGGUGCGCCGGAAUACUGAGGGACUAGAGUACGGGAGAGGAAAGUGGAAUUCCUGGUGUAGGCGGUGAAAUGCGUAGAUAUCAAGGAGGAACACCGGUGGUGUAGACGGCUUUCUGGACCGUAACUGACCGCUGAGACACGAAAGCGUGGGUAGCAAACAGGG